rnacentral:misc_RNA from 1 species
GAUGAAGAACGUAGCGAAAUGCGAUACGUAAUGUGAAUUGCAAAUUCAGUGAAUCAUCGAGUCUUUGAACGCACAUUGCGCCCCCUGGUAUUCCGGGGGGCAUGCCUGUCCGAGCGUCAUUGCUGCCCUCAAGCACGGCUUGUGUGUUGGGCCCCGUCCUCCGAUCCCGGGGGACGGACCCGAAAGGCAGCGGCGGCACCGCGUCCGGUCCUCGAGCGUAUGGGGCUUUGUCACCCGCUCUGUAGGCCCGGCCGGCGCUUGCCGAUCAACCCAAAUUUUUAUCCAGGUUGACCUCGGAUCAGGUAGGGAUACCCGCUGAACUUAAGCAUAUCAAAAGCGGAGGA